GCUUAGCCCUAAACUUAGAUAUUUAUACACAAAAAUAUCCGCCAGAGAACUACGAGCAAAACGCUUAAAACUCUAAGGACUUGGCGGUACCUCAAACCCACCUAGAGGAGCCUGUUCUAUAAUCGAUAACCCACGAUUCACCUCACCAUCUCUUGCCAAUCCCGCCUAUAUACCACCGUCACCAGCUUACCCCAUGAGGGAUGCGAAAGUAAGCAAAAUAACUAAACAGUUAACAAGUCAGGUCAAGGUGUAGCUAAUUGAAAUGGAAGAAAUGGGCUACAUUUUCUACAUUAGAAAUUAAUUUACGGAAAGGAACUAUGAAACAGUCCCAUAAGUAGGAUUUAGCAGUAAACUAGGAUUAGAAUGCCUAAUUUAAGCCGGUCCUGAGGUGCGC
rnacentral:rRNA from 1 species